rnacentral:rRNA from 1 species
GGGGCCCGCACAAGCGGUGGAGUAUGUGGUUUAAUUCGACGCAACGCGCAGAACCUUACCUGGUCUUGACAUCCCGGGAAUCUUGUGGAAACACGAGAGUGCCUCGCAAGAGGAGCCUGGAGACAGGUGGUGCAUGGUUGUCGUCAGCUCGUGUCGUGAGAUGUUGGGUUAAGUCCCGCAACGAGCGCAACCCUUAUUGCUAGUUACCAUCAUUAAGUUGGGGACUCUAGCGAGACUGCCAGUGAUAAACUGGAGGAAGGUGGGGAUGACGUCAAAUCAUCAUGCCCCUUAUGACCUGGGCUACAAACGUGAUACAAUGGCUGAAACAAAGGGCAGCGAAGGAGCGGUCUGGAGCGAAACCCAAAAAGCAGUCUCAGUUCGGAUUGAAGUCUGCAACUCGACUUCAUGAAGUCGGAAUCGCUAGUAAUCGCGGAUCAGAACGCCGCGGUGAAUACGUUCUCGGGUUU